UUAAAACAAAUAAUAUGUAAAAUAAAGCCAACUUUUAUAUACAAUUAGGAUAUUUUGCCCUAAUUUUAUUCUUUUUUUUUUUUUGGUCCAAGCACCGGAGGGAUGCCACAUCCUGGCGUGGCACCGAAACGGCGACACGCUGACCACAUCUCUUGCUCGGCAGCUACAGCAGCGCAGCAUUAUCAUCAGCCUCCAUCGUUGGUGUCUGUCGAUGAAGGUCACAGGGAGAAACUAUAAAGGCGAAAAUUGGGCGCUCGCCGCAUUAUUUCACUCGAAAUGCAGACGCGCGUGGUGCUCUCCGUGUUCCUCCUUGUUGUGCUCGUCGGCGCCCAGGCCGGGCCCAUCUUCAGCUCGCAGGGCCUCCUCGGCUUCCUGCAGCCCUCCGCGGCCACCAAGCGGCCGGCGGCCACCAGCGGCCAACGCCAGGGCCGCAGCCGGUAUGACCAACUGUGCAAGGCGCACAACUUUGACCCCUACGCCUUCCCCGGACGGGCCCCUUAUCCCUCCGGACCACUUUGCUCCUACGCUGGGUGAAUCGGACUCGCUUCUGCAGUUCUUCUUGUGCCAUAACUGAUAUUUUACUUGCGUAAGACUUUUCAAAACUAUCAGCCUGACUGACGACGAGGAGAGGAUUUCGUCCGAGAAUGGACGUGCAAUUUUUGCGGUCUCGCUUGCGUUGUUUUUUAUGACUCGAUCGUGCUCCAGUGAGUUCAGUGUGAAAUUUUAGUUGUGUAGGGAACUUUUGUGUUCUUCUUAGUCAUUAAAAUUGAAUAAUUUUUUAACAUAAAAAUGUGAUUUACAUGUAAUAAAAAAAAAUUAUAAAGAGUUUGAACAAA